GCUGUUUUCAUUGCGUAUGUAUGAUAAGUCAUGACUGAAAAUAAUAAGAACAACUCAAUCCGUCCAAAUCUUUUCCUAAUUUAUCACUGAUUGCAUCAACGAUUUGCACGCGGACCCAAUUCAUGCAACAUCAAAGAGACAAUUACCAGAAAAGGAAUACAGGUGAAGAACUGAAGAUGAAGAAAACCAAAUGAAGAUGGCAGAGAAGGAAGAACCCUUGCUGGCCUGAAAGGAAGACAGGGUCGCAGUCCCGGAGGGAGAUCUCCACCAGGUCGAAUCACGUCUCGUGCUUCCACUCGGGGUCGCUGUCGCUUCCUUGACGGUCGGAGUCCGUCGCUGCUGGUUCUGGACGAGCUUCUCGCUCGGGUCGUCCCUGACGAGGGAGGAAGACGAAGAGAGGAGAAAGAAUGUGAGAGGAGAGAGAGAGAGAAGGCUAUGGGAGAAAAAACGAAACGAAAAAACAGAGAGAGAAAGUUGAAAUUUCUCAAGAGUGGGUCCCACCUAUACGUGCCAUCUCGAGUAACUAUUCCCCACCGCGCUUUUGAGGUAAUCUAGGCUGCACAUGACAAAAUUUUUGAAACAUAAAUUGAUUUUUGGCCAGAAAUCAAUUUCUUAAUUUCUAUUCCCCGGACAAGUUUCUGAGCAAAGAAACUCGUUUGAUAACGACUCAAAAUUUCUAUUUCUGAAACAGAAAUCCGUUUGAUAACAUAACAAAAUUUCUAUUUCUAGGAAUAGAAAUUGAUUAGAUAACAAUAUAUGAAAUCCUCAAAUACAAAAUAAUAGUCGAAAUAAUACUAAAAUAACAUAGAAAAUCCUCAAAUACAAAAUAAUAGUUGAAAUAAUACUAAUACAUUACAAAAGUUGAAAAUACAAUUUCUUGGAAUUUCCGACAUAUUAUUAUUCCUUGCAAUUUUAUUAGCAAUUGUUUUUCUAAGCGUAUUUAUUUAGUUUCCCCUUCGGUCAAUGUAUUGUUUGCAAGCUCAUCCUGCGUAGGUUCUUUUUUUUUUUUUUUUCAGACAAGUAUUACAGAAGCAUGAAUAUGGGUGCCAUCAAUGGCGCCUAUACAACCUUGUUAUUUUAUCAAAAACUAGUAUUAUACAAGAUUAUCAACAAAAUAAAAUUAAUGAUGUAAAGGAAUAUAUGAGAAUUCUACCUUAAAGUAAUGUUUAUGGUUAGGAACUAAUUGAGGGAAGGUCAGUUCAUUUUGAUUCUCGAAUUGAAUCAGUCCAGUUGCUCAUCCCUAAUUUCGUUAUUGUUGCUCAAUGAACCUUUAAUGGCCGUUACAUAACAAAGAGAGAGAUUCUCUUGAAUCUCUUGCAUUCGAAUUAAAAUUCAAGAUUGUAUAACAAUCUAAUUAUUUUGAUUUUGCAAGAAUUUUGAAUCCAUAAAAAAAAAAAAAGGUUAAAUUUCUAGGCACGUUUUUUAUUCAUCGAUUACGUAAGAACUUUUUCUUCAACUAGCCAUACGCAUGCCUUUUCUAAGAGGAAAGAGCCACAUUAUUUUUAAGUAAGCAUUUAAGAACUUUGGUCGCUUUUUUUUUUUUUAUUGGGGACCCAUUCGAUUGCAUUUCAUCAUAAAGAGGAGGUUAUAAAAAAAAUUGAAAAAAAAAUGCAAAAAAAAAAAAACACGAGCAAAAUAAGAAAAAGAAAAUUAGCAAUAAUUAAUGAAGUUAUAGUUAUGAGUAAAUUAAGUUAGCAAGAAAGCGCAAGGUUUUUUUAUAUGGUUUGAUUUCAGUUUCUGAUUUCUAUUUCAGAAACUGAGAAAUUAAAAAUUUCAACUUCUGAUUUCUUCAAUUUCUCUAUUUCUAAAAUAGAAAUUUGUUUCAGAAAUAGAGAAAUCAAAUUGCGUUACCAAACGGAUUUCUGUUCCAAACCUAUUCCGAGGAACAGAGAAACAGAGAAACAGAGAAAUCGAGAAACAUAAAUUUUGCCAUGUGCGCUCCUAGUCUCAUCUUAAAUCUAGCCAAGGGUAUUCUCACUUUUUUCAAAUCUCUGUACUCUUCGAAUAUCAGAAUCUCCUCUAAUCUCUCACAUUUUGCUAUUGCCACUUUCUCUAGCUUCUUGAAGCUUGCAGGCUCAGGAAACUUUCGUAGGGACCCGCAACUUUUAAUAAGAAGCCUCUCCAAUGAUUCUAGCCUACCUCAAAUCUCAAUCAGAUUAGGACAAUCCCCUAACUCAAGAUCCUUGAGCUCAUUUGCGUUGGUUAGGUCAGGCAACUUCUAUAGCAUCGGAAGAUCCCUCACUUGUAAGAACAUCAAGUUCUCCGAAUAUUCCAAGCCUUGAAUCUCUUUGAGCUUCCAACAGCCCUCUAUCAUUAAGAUCUUUAUAUGCUUGAAGGUUAGUGGAUCAGGCAACUUUUCGAGUGUUUCACAGCGGUUUAAAUAGAGAACGUCCAAUGAUUCUAGCUUACCACGAACCUCAACUACUUUAGAACAAUCUUCUAUGUGAAGUCCCCAGAGCUUCUUCAAGCCGGUCAGGUCAAGCAACUUCACUAGUGAUAGAAGACGAACAAGACGAAGGCCUCAUAGGUUUUUCAAAUGUUGGAGGCCUUGAAUCUCCAUUAGCUAUCUACAAUUAUAGACGUGCAAUCCUGACAACUUCUCCAGAUAUGAAAUAUUUAUUGACUUUUCCGUUAACCUACACCUAACAAGAUGGAAAAAUGACAAAUUCUGAGGAAGCCUAGGUAGGCAUUCUAGGUUAUUUACCAAGAGUUCAAGGUGCCUGAGCUUCAAAAGGAGAUUAAAAUCUGAAGGUAGGGUGAACAGACCAUCACAACACAACUGCAAGGUUUCUAGCUUUCUUAAACCUCCUAUCCAAUUGAGGCUUGGAGCUAGAUGGGAAGGGAUUCGAUACUUUAAAUCCAACGUCAAAUUUCUCAAAUUUGAUAGGUUUGAGAGAUUUGGGCAUCUCAUAUGUUGAUUAUGGCUCAGGUAUAGAUUGGUCAUACUUUCAAGAAGCUUAGGUAUAUUAGAAAUUCCCGUUUUUGUUAAUCUCAAGAUUCUCAGAAAUGAUAGUCUUCCAAUCUCACUUGGAAUUUCCCCACACAAAUAUUCACAAUCAUAAGCUUCAAUCUCUUCAAGCUUCUCCAACAUCCCAAGGGUGCUAGGUAGCUUUUCUAAGAUGGUGCUAGAGAUCCUUAGUACUCUCAAAUUCUUCAUUGUCUCCAUUGAAUUGGGUAAUUCUCGUAUCCUCGACUGAGAAAGAUUCAACUCAAUGAGAGAACCAAAAUUUCCAAUUGAAAGUUCACUAAUACUUGUACAUGACAAGCAAAGAUAUAACAGUGAUGUUGAGCAACCAACUAAAUUGCAUUCACUCAGUAAUCCACAUGAAUUUGCACUGAGAGUUUUCAAUUUCUUCAUUCCUUUCCAUUUAGGAAUUUUGGUAAUAGAUGUCCCGUCAAGAAGAAGAACUGUCAAGGCUUCCAAUCCCUCCAUCUCAUUUGGCAAUGUCUGAAGUUUGCUACAACCUUCCAUUAAAAACACUAACUACUUCAACUUACCAAUAGACCUGUCAACUUGAACUAGCUCCUUGCACCCUUGAAGAAUCAGUUGCUCUAAAUUUUCAUGAGUAGAAACAUUAGGAGCUUUAUGCAAGUUGCUACAUUUAGUCAAAUUUACAACCUUCAAAUUCUUUGCCAUCUGUAAUGAAGAGGAGGUUAAUUCUAGAUCAUUUAAGAUACAGGACAAUAAAGUUAACAUAGCAAGUUCAUGUUGAAAAAAUACCAUACCUUGAGGUGGUUCCAUCCCUCCCAAUCAUUAGUAAUUUGACUCUGUGAUAGAUCAACAAUCACUAUCUUCGUAAGGGAAAAUGAGGUCAAUUGGAAAAAGAUGGGAAACUCAUGCCACGAGAGAUCUCAAAUUUGGAAGGAUGAGCGGAUUUUCUGAAACCACUUGGUUGAAGGACAAUGCUGAAAAUUUUUUUGCCAUGAGAGGUAUCUCAACUUAGGAAGGUUGGAUAGAUUCCUCUGGAACCAAUUGGUUAAAGAAAAAUGCUGGACAUUUUUCAUAUCCAAGUCUCCACAAUCCACUUGAAGAAACCUCAAAUUUGAUAGACUUGCAAAUUCUUCCUUCUUAAAGAAGCAUUGAGAUUGACGAUCAAACUUGAGACGUACUGCUUCAACGUUUUCUCUCCCUUGCUGAAGCCCAAAAAAUAAAUAAAUGGAAGAUAGUGAUCACAUAAUUUCCUGUUGAAGGGAUCUGAGUUGAACAUACUUCAGGAAUGUACAUUUUAUUUAUACUUUCAAAUUAAUUUACAAUAUGAUUUAUAGAUGAGCUUGUCAUCAUAGUAAGCAGAAAAGUAAUAACUCAGUUCAGAUAGAAGCAAUUAACCAAAAUUGACGUGUAUAACUCAUCCCUCUCCGAAUAGGAAUAAAAUUGCGCACACUUUACCUUUUCUAUGAGAAUACUAUUUCCUUGUUCAUGAUCCCACACCCAACUUUGCUUCUUUGGUGUAAAUGUACCAAUCCAACAAAUGAAAUGUCGCCCAAUGUCCCUUAAUAGAUCAUGCAUUCACAACCAGUCAUAGUUUGUCAUCUUUAUUAACGACAUCUGUCGGAGGACAUCAAGAUAAUAGUCAAGUAAAAACCCACAACUUUUCCACAUGUGCCUCACAAUUUUCACAUCAAACCCAAUGAAGAAGCAACAAAUAUCGAGAAAUAUUUCCUUGGCAUGCGGUUGUAAUGCAUUGAUACUGAUGUUCAACUUUUCUUCAACAUUUUCAUUGGGAAUAAUUUCUAGCUUCUCUAAUGUGGUUUCCCAAAAUUUUCUGUCUUUUCCAGCUAAAAAUGAGCCUACGAUCUCAAGAGCCAAAGGAAGAUGACCAUAGACUUUCACCGCUUUUUCGGAGAGAGAGACGUAUUCUGCUAGAGGAUGAUCACUUCUAAAUGCAUGUCUGCUGAAUAGUUGGAGAGAAUGAUCAAAAUCCAUUCCAGUAAGUUCGUGCUUCAACUCAACAUCUUUGAGAACUUCUUUGUUUCUUGUGGUAAUUAUAAUCUUACUUCCACUGCCAAACCAGCAUUUACCCAUUCCCACAAAAGCAUCCAGCUUAGUCUUUGGGUCGACAUCAUCAAGUAGAAGUAUGACCUUUUUAGAGGAUAACAUGUCCUUGAUCACCCUUUUCCCUUCAUUGAUAUCAUUCAUGGUCUAUCGUUUCUUUCCUAGGACAUCAGAGAUGAGCUGAUUCUGCAAACUCUCAAUUUUCAUAUCUCCAAUGUUGGACAGGGAGCAACAUUUAGUGGAAUCAGUGAUCCGUUCACUUUUCACUUCCAUGAUUCUAUCCACUUGAUCGUCCAUUUCCUCCGAGGAAUUAGACAAGUUGUAAUGUUUAGUGGAACCGGACAACAAUUUGUUAUAGAUGAUUUUGGCAAGAGUUGUCUUUCUAACACCACCCAUACCAUGGAUACCAACAAUCUUUGUUUGAGCAGUGUACUCACCUAUUAAUUCCAUGAUUCUGUCCACGUGAUCGUCCAUUUCAACCAAGAAAUCAGAUAAUGCCAAGUAGUUCUUUUUCAAUUCAAUCAAAACCUUCUAAACAACUUCUCUUGUGAACUCACCUUUGCCCUCUGAUAAUAUUGAAGGCAAAAGAACCAAAGUAUUAAAUCAAGAUGAACAUAAUAAUAUCUAAGGUACAAACAAAUCAUGCACAAUAAUAAAUUCAAGUACCUCUCCUUGAGUUCCCAUCCCUUUAAUUUUCCAACCUUUUUGAGAGCUGCCUUCCAGUUCUCAAUAGUCUCGUCAGUGUACAACUACUUAUCUAUGUAUGACUGAAUGGCCUUGCCGUAAGUUGCAGUUUGGUUACGAACCUCGGAUGGUUCAAUGUCACAGAAAAUUGGCAUGAUCUUUUGUCCCCACUUUUCCUUGCAUUCCACCAUCUAGACCAACUCCAUGAGGCACCAUUUACUGGCAACAUAAUGUUUAGAAAAAAUAGGAAUCGAGAUUUUAGACUGCUUAAUCGCUUGAAGAAGCUCCAGCCCAAUCUCUUCCCCAAUGCGAAGCUCUUCAUCAUCUCUAUAUGCCCGUAUUCCAGCAUCAAUGAGGCUAUUGUAAAGGAUAUCAGUGAUGUCAUGAUGAGUAUCCGGUCCUCUAAAGUUCAAGAAUACUUCAUAACAAGGUUUCAUUGGCUUCUCCAUUUCCUGAAUUUUCAGAGGACUAGCAAUAAUUCGAUAUCCCACCUGGAAGAACGUUUACAAUGAAAGUGGAGUGAUGAUUAUCAUGAUUUCUCUAGAAAAUCUUCUAUUUUAAGUCAUUCUAGAAAGAAACCUCAAUGACAAAUGCACAGCUCCUUCUGGCAUUGUCCUGGACACCAACAUAUGUCCGAUUAUUAUAUCAACAAUAUAGCAGAGAAGUUGACCCAUCUCAACACUAAAGGAAGAAAUCUCCAAAUUAUUGCGAAAUGGAUUUCAAUUCACACUUGAAAUUGAUAAUUAAAAUGAAAAUUUCAAGAAGAUGUAUCACUGUCAACUUAUUUUUGACUGAAACUUUUUACUUAUUUAAUAAAAAUUUUCUUAAAAGGUAACGUUGAAUAUCCUCUGCACAUAAGCACCUGCUGUGGCUUGUAGGUUGACUAAUUAUCUUAUCAUCUCAUAAGAAGUUAUGCCAAAGCCGUACUCUUUUAAUUUUACCAGAAUCGGUUUGACAAAAACAUUCCACAACAGUCAAUUAGUUGCUCACUUGACCUUAAUGGGCGCAGGCAAAGAAUCGCAUUCACCUAUGACAAUCUCAUUAGAAAAAUGAAAUCAAGAAAUUACUCUACAGCUAAUUCAACCCCCAACAUCGGACUAGUUCUGAAAAGCAUAAACCGAUCCCUUAUUACAGCCAUCUCUUAGUUUAUUAACAAACAGAUACAUGGUUAAUGGGCGAGCAUUGGUUAGGCAUGAGGCUAUUAUUCACAUCUGCCAGACAGUAUCAGCAUAUCAGACUUGUGGAGUUGAUAAAAAUUCAACAGAAAAGAGAAGCAUGAAUGCUAUAAUUAUUUUUCCAGCAAAAUAGGUUUUGGGUGCGUUUGGAUGGGCAUUUAGAAAGCCCAUCCAGCCCCCAAAGCUCCUUCAGCCAAAGAGGGGGUGUUUGGCAACCCUCUCAAGGAGCUUUCAAAUGAAAGCAGGGUACUUGGAAAUGCUGAAAGCCCAAGGCUGGUAGGGACCAGCCUUGAGCUUUCAGCCUUCUACCAAAUGCUGAAAAUAUUUUUUUCUUUCCUAAACUACCCUCAUUGAUUUUUUAUAUUUCCAUUAUUGUCCCUGUAUUUAUAUUUUUUUUUAAAUGAAAAAGGAGCAGCCUUCGCCGGUCCGGCGAAGGGCGAAGGGCGACGGCGACGGCCGCCGGCGAGCUAGAUCUGGCGCCGGCGGCCGCAGCCCUUCGCCGGCCGGCGAAGGGUUUAGCUGAUUUUUCAAAAAAAAAAGAAAAGAAAAUAUAUAUAUACAUAUUAUACCCAUCAAAAGCUCAUUGCAAAUGUUCUUCUUACCAAACACACAUUCAACACAAAGCUCAUUUACAAAAUUUUUUUACCAAACACUAUCACAUUUUUCCCAAGUAGCUUUGGGCUUUCAGCAUUUGCAUUGGACUCAAAGCCCAUUGCAAAUGCUGAACCAAACGCAGCCUUUAACACAUAGGAAAGCAAGAACGAGAGAUGCAUUUCACAAAAGCUGAGAGUUCCGGCUCGCCACAGAGUGCAACAUUAUAGUCUCUGCAGUCAGCCUCUUCUGUUAAAUACCAAGUUGUGUGUAUCAAUUUUCUCCCUAGGAGUGAUCUUACUGCUAAUUACCAGACAAUAGUGUACUAGUUUGACGUAUCAAAGUCUCUUAGAGACACCAGUAUCUCUGAUCGCACAAGAAAAUCCCAUCAAACAAAUUUAAUUAACUGAUUCCACUCAAACUAAAUUAGCUUUUAGCACCGGCCCAGUUCCUAAAGAGCGGAAAUUCAAUCCCCGGUUACAGAAUCAACAAAAUGAUGCAUAGGAGAGGUAUUGCGUUUCAAGAUCUGAGGCCUGACAUUUGCGCAGAUGGAAGCAGAUGAGCGAGGUUUUAGCAUCGGACUAGAGUUAGAGGCAAAAGCUAUCAGUGUUAGACGCAACUGGCAGUGAUCAAUCAUGAAGUCAACUGAGGAAAGAAUUGAUACUGAUCUGAGAGUCCCUCUCUUGUUUCCAUCAAAUUCUGCAUCUAGUUGCAUUACAGAGCAGACCCAAUUCAUUAAAAAAGAAGGCAAUCAACGAUAGGAAAUUACCGGAGAUGGAGGGGGUGAAGAUGAAGAGUCCGGAUCAAAUGCUGAGAAGCAGACAAAGAUCCCAAGAAUAAACGCUCUUGGCUUUUGAGAUCAGCUGAAGAAAGAGUGAGUACGCCUUCUGCCCUUCCAGGAAAGUGAGGCCUUGCUAGCUGCUGGAACACUUCAAGCCGACCGUGAAAAAGUGACUUCGCGUUGCUUUUAGCUUUUGAGGUGAUCGAGUUGAGUUCCUGGGAAAUUUCUGGGAGUACGAAGACUCUUCGGCACGAAAUGCGAGAGGACGAGAUUUUCAUGCGUGUUAUUAGUUUAGAAAUCAUUCAAUAUAUGGUAUUCUUUUUAUGACGACUAAACCCUUCUCUUGUGGGUGGAAAUCCAGGCCCAUUCAAAUUUUACUUAUACUAAACCUAAAAAUGUAAAAUUCAUAUAUAUUAAUUUAUUGAGAUGAAUUAUGUUAGUGUUAUUCAUAGUGAAUUUAUAAGACAAAAAAAGUUGGGAAAAAUAACUACAAAUGAAAUAAUAUUUAUACAACACUCAACUGAGUAUUAUAAUUUUUUUUUGGAUUACUUGAGUAAUUUAAUUUUUAUUCGGUACUCACUUAAGCGCCAAUAACUUUAUUUUUGAUUAUUUGAGUGUAUAUAACAUUUCAAUCGAUCACUUGUGCUAUAAAUUCUUAAAAUCAUUUAUCCAAAUGCCAAAUAUCUCUUAUUCAUUUCAUUACCUACAUCUAUGUUAGCUCUUAUAUGGAUUUUAUCAAUGCAAGUAAUGGGAUUUAAUGGCUCAAUUCAUUUACUCAUUAUGCCUCUUUUGCCGUAUCAAAAACGAGACAAGAGAGUGAAAAGCACAAUAUUUCUAUGCAUUAUAAUUAAUUAAUUCUUGUCCAACUACUUUUCUUUUUGGAUCAUUAUUCGGUAAUUGAUACAAUAAUAGUUAGUACAUUGUUUCUUCUUUAACAGAAAGCCAAUCAUUCGGCUUCUCAGUACAUGAUCAAAUUUGUUGGAUUCUUGAAGCUGGAAAGGUCGGGUAGCUUUCCUGAGCCAGUCAAUAUGAUGCAUCUCCAAUUGUUCUGCUUUGCCUCAAAUCUCAACCGGUUUAGGACAAAUCCAUGGGAGAAGUUUUGGACAACGUCUUCAAUUAAGGCAGACCUGCAAGCAUUAAUAAUAGUGUACAAUUUCUGGCAUCAAAAUUUUGUGAGUGUUCUUUUCAAUUCUGAAAUUUCUAUCAAACUCAAUUCGAUAGAGAUGCUUCUGUUAUUUUGCCUGGUAUAGUAUUGAGGGCCAUGUUGCUGCAUUGUCGAAAAAGGUAAUGAGUGGCAUACAUGGUGAAGUUCUUAGAUACAAUCAACUGAGACAAACUAAAUUUAAGGCAAAGAAAAGAGAGCCAUUGGAAAGUAUGGUUAUCGAAUUUUCUGUCAACUUUAUCCCUCAAAAGUUCAUGUUCUUUGGACUCUCUAGAUUCUUACAGCACUCGGGAAAUUUGCGAAUCAAUUUUUACUCCUUCACCCUCUCACAACCGCUAUAGGAAAUAAUACGAACUGCGGAGAGGAAGAAUUGGUAUCUGAAAUAUUGACAGUCUAUACCUGAGGGAAUGGUAGGAACAGAAGACCCACAGCAGAAGCAAUACGAAAAAACCUUCUACGUUGGAAGCUUAGUUUGGAUCCAAUGGUAACACAAUUGAGAGAAGAAAUAUUUGUACUAAUAUUUUCUGAUUAUUACAUAAGGAGCUUGCCAUAUACAGAGUUUUGAGUUGCUGGCCAACCACUGAAAUCAGGUGCGCAACCAACAUUUACGUUCUACCAUUAACCAAACUCAGAAGUCCAAGACAUAAAGUACCUUAAAAACAACAAAAAGAUACUCAUAAGUUGGAUUCCGCAAAAUCAGACUGCGUCUAUUCCUCAAGUACUUCACUGAUCAUCAGCACUCAAGAGAACAUUCUACCUUCUCACGCUUGAGUGUAUAAAAAGAUUUUAGCUUCUCAAUCCGGUAACUUCUCCAAAGAUUUAAAAGGAACAUCUAAAGUUGCCUCCAACGAUUUUACUCUGCCUUGGAUCUCAACCACUUUAGGACAUCACUGCAGAUAAAAUUUCUGGAGCUUCUUCAGGUUGGUCAGGUCAGGCAACUUGUCCACAGAUGGAACUCCUUCAAGCUUGAAGGCAAUUGGGUUCUCCAAAACUUGGAGGCUUCUGAACUCUCUCACUUUAGGGCGACGACCAACUUCCAAAUCUGACAGCGCCUUCCAAUUUGAAAGCUCUAUUCACGUUUUUAUUUCCUUGCAUGAUUCGGUAUCUAAGUACAACAAAUUUGGGGGAAGGCCAGGUCGGCAGUGCAGCUUCUUGGAGGGGACCAGUUCAGGUUCCUUGAGCUGUGAAAGAAAAAUGAUGUCUGAAGAUGGGGUGAUGAAAUAAUGAGAUUCCAACAGCAAGGAUUCCAGCUUCCCUAACCUUCUGAGCAACGAAGGACUUGGAGCUUCAAUGAAAUUAGAAGCAUCAUCCAAAUUGUCAAAACCUGAAUUUUACAUGCAAUUUGAAUAUUGAAUUAAUAAGUUACUUAUCAUCAAGUGAAUGUACAUAAUUUUUUUUACUACUUUACGUAAUUAAAACCUUGUACAGAAGAUCUGCCUUAAAAAGAUAUGUAGAAGCGCAAAUCUAAACAUCCCUAAACUCCGAACCAACCAAUAUGUAUAAUAUUUUUGAGGGAAUGAGUUGACAUUCAGUAAAUGAUAGCUCUACUUCCAAAAUGGGAGGCCUACCCACUACUCAACCCGAGAACAUAACAAUAGCAAUUUGCAAAUAAGGUCAUAUAUUAUUAUCAAUAGGAAAACCAAUAUUCACCUAAGACAGUGUAAUCCGUGCAUUAUAUAAAAAUGACUAUAAUUAUCUGUGCAAUGAAUAAAAUAGAAGCAAUGUAUGAUAUUCGUUUUAACGCUUAAAUGCACACAAUUGAUCAUACCAAAUCUCAUGAUGUAUAGACAUCAACAGCUCAUCGAUAGACACAAGUAUUUAUCUAUUACCUACUUGCUACUAGCCACGACUCAUCUUGACUACCUCAACUAACAAGACAUUGUGACCACUAAAUAAUGCAAGAAGAAAUCAUAAAUACAUAUUUACCACGCUUCAUCCCAUUCAUCACAGGUAUCCUCCAACGAUGAUAAAUACAGUACAAACGCAUAAUGACAGCUAUCCUAGACUCAAUUCUCAUCAAGAUUCAUACCCAUUCUAUUUUCUUUCUUCUCUCAAUCUUGGACCUCAAGUUCAUAAUAUCAUACAUAGGCUAUUCAAGUCACAUCAGGUUACACAAGUCAUAUAAUUUCAUGUAUAAAUCAUUGUACUUUACAUUUUCUCAAUCUUAUAGAGAACGGUAGAACAUCUGUCUUUUCCCAGAAUCUUAUAUACAUACUCAGAAAAAUUAAUUAUAGUGUUGGUAUAUUGCUAACAACACUCGUAGAAUUUCAAUGGAGUUGGUAAUUUACUUAAUAUGGGGAACAAGCACACUUGGAAGGUGCAGCACAGUGGAAAGUUGUAUGCCAUGUUCAAAAGUAUUGUUAUUAAUUUACUUACGAUACUGGUUAAAUUUCAAAUGAGUUGAUAAUUUACUACUUCAUUGAAAUAUUAGUAAAUUUCUGAUAGUGUUGUUAAUUCACUUACAACACCGGAAAGUUUCCAGAAGACUUGGUAAUUUACCAAUCUAGUGGGAAAUUGCUAAAUUUCCGACAGCUUUGGUAAUUUACUACCUCCUUACCUAACAAGCAAGUAACCAGUCAUUUUCUUUUACCUAACAAUUCCAAAUUUGCUGGUAAUACCACCAAAAAUUUCAAAGGAAGGAACUAGAAAGGCAGUAAUGAAUCCACUGAGAAGCAACUGCAGAAAUCUGUUUUAAGUUAUCAAAACUAAAGAACCUUGGUGACCAUUGCACAUGAUCAUUACCUAGGGAGCGUUUUAUGUUUACGCUGGACACAAUGUUUUGCCCCUGCUUCUUCGUUUCUUCAAUGUGGAAAUUUUGAUGGGAAAUCAGCGACAAUUCUGCGAAUAUGGUUGCUGAUGUCUGAUAGAAUUCGCGACACUGAAUGCAACACAUUCUCAGGGUAAUGCCUCAUGAACAAUAAUCUCUACGAAUGAAAUCUGGAGCAAGUGAUUUAAUCACUAAGUAAAGUAGGACCACAACAGACCAAGAGAAGAAGAAAGAAAUUGCAGAACCAAUCGAUUAUAGUAAGAUUUCAUGCCUUCCAGGACAAUAUUUCGGUUUUAGCUAGACCUUGACAAGCUCAGAAGAACAACUGAUUCGCCAUGUAUGGUUUGAACUAGUUCCUAAGGAGCGAAAAUCAAUCCCCUCACGGGUGCAGAACCGAACUGAGGCACAGGAGUAGCAAUGUGUUUCAAUAGAAUGCGACUUGUGGUUUAGACCAAAGCUAUGCAGAUGGAACAUAAAUUCAAUCCCCUACUUGGAGAAAUCUGAGUUUUAUUGAGAAGCUGGUGGAUAGAUGUGGCAUUGUGUUUCCAGAUCUAAGGCCCAACUGUAGCAUAGAUGGAAGCAGAUGAGCAGGGUUUAGCAUGUGACUAGAACUAGGCAAAAGCUAUUAGUGUUAGAUGCAAAUGACAGGGAUCAAUCAUCGAGUCAACUAUUUAAAGAACUGAUACUGAUUUGAGAAUCGCUCUAUUGUUUCCAUUGCAUUAUAUACCUAGUUGCAUUGCAGAACAGACCCAACUCAUGAAAAUGGCAGUAGAUGAGAGGAAUUACUGGAGGUGGAUGGGGUGAAGGUGAAGUGUCUGAAUCAAAUGCUGAGAAGCCAAUAAAAAUCUUGGCUCUGAGUUCAGCUGAAGAAAGACUCUUUAUUAGAUAGUCCACUCACCCUUGUGUCUUGCUUAUGCAGGAAGGUGAGGACUUAUUAGUUGCAGGUACACUGAAAGCCGAUGACUAUUGAUGACCGAAGGUGCCAAAACAAGGAAGUUGGGAUGUAAAGUAACCCUCCUGCACAGAAUAGUUGCCUGAGUUAUGACCUUGCAAGACAAACAUUUGAAGGUUGAGGGCUCUGGAGUGUGUGAAACUGCUUAAUACAGUUAACCAUGGAUGGUUCGAACAGUACUUCCAAGCCAUACUGGUGUGUUUGAUUAGCACUUAGGAGGUGAGGCGGUCAACCACCCUCUUAUCUAGUUGACUUGGGGUAAAAUGAAUUGUCCAUAUUACCGCUAGAAGGAAUCCUCAAAUAUUUUUCUUUUGAACAAGGAAAAUUUAAUUAUCGUAUUAUUUAGAUUUUAAUGGUCCAACCAUUGGAAAUUACAAUUGGUUAUUAAUAUUAUGCUAUUAUAAGUAAACAAAAUAUAAUCAACUUAUAUUUAUAUAUUAGCUAUGAAUACUGAUAAAUAAAUAAUAGAUUGAUACCAAAAAUAAAAUAAAACAAUAGAUUGAUAUAUUGAUGCACUCCACCAUCUGUACCAAUUCCAUAAGACACCACUUACUGUUGACAUAGCCUUUAGAGAAGAUGGGUAUCAAGAUUUUGGACUGCUCAAUUGCUUGGAGAAGCACUGAACCGAUCUCUUCGCCAGUACGAAGCUCUUCGUUAUCUCUGUAUGCUCAAAUUCCAGCAUCAAUGAGACUGGUAUACAGGAUAUCAGCAAUAUCCAAGUGUGUAUCGGGUCCUCUAAAGCUCAAGAAUACUUUGUAACAUGUUGACAUGGCUUCACAACUUCCAGCGUUUGAGAUGAUUCCUCAGUAGACAAGCAGCAGCAGAAUCGCCAACGGCUUCUGUGAUCCCGUUGUCUGUUUUCACCUCUUCACUGGUUUGUACAGAAAGAUGGAAACAAUGGAAGCGACGAUCAAUGCUGAGUGCGAGGACCGACCUCGGUGCACCCUCUAAACUUAUAAAAACAAUGCUGUGAAGAUGUCUGUCAGGAUGGGAAACAAAUGUAUGUGAGAUCUGCUCAGGUCAAUGAUUGAUGUCAGCCUUUUUCUGGGUAACAUUGUAUCUAAUAUAUAUUCUAUCGUCUUCAAAAACUAAAGAAGGAUGCUUCCUCUUCACUUCAAUCGAGGCAUACACGAUUUAGUUAUUUUUGUUGGCCAUAUACACAUGAUUAAAACGCGGCCUCUCUAUGGCAACCACGAGGGAGGAUAAGAUAACCUCAACGGAGCAUGCCAACAAAAGAGACAGCUUUUACCGUAUUAGUGAUGAUUACCUUGGAUUUUUUACUAUCAUUCUUCGUAUACAAAAGCUACUAGUCCCUGAUAUGUUGAUGAGUCCGUUAAAACUUCAAAAAUUUCUCACCCCUCAGAGGAGGAAUUGCUUAUAGCAAACAUUGGUAUGUCCAUUAAAUAUUUUUAUUAUAAUAGAUAGGGCGUGAAAAGGGGUUUACUUCGACCAAAAUUCAAGCACGACCCAAAGAUUUCAAGCCACAGAUCCUGAAACCUCGAACUUAGGCUUGGCUCAAGACAAUAUGAAAUGGCAUGACUCGUAGUAGUUUGAUGCAACUGGUUUUCACACACCUCAAUAUUAGUCCAUCUCACAGGCAACCGCAAUGGGGCAUUCUCUCAUAUUGGCAAGGUGCUUCCUGAAGUGCUUCUAACAAGGUUUGAACUAACACCACGAGGAAAAAGGCAAACUCCCUUGCUAAUUUCUAAUAGGCUAAGAGUGACUUUUUCAUAUGAAAAUAAAAUUGCUCACGUGAAAAUACUAGUAAGUGAUAGAUAUGCACUUGCUUUUAGGAGCAACUACUAAUCAUGAUGAAAAGAUCCCUUCUUAGAACAAUUGACAUACAGAUGAAAAAACAAAAAAUAUGAAGAGUUAUUGAGGGAAGACUAAUAGACGAAAGACUAUUUAUCCUUACUAAGUACUAAUGAUUACUUAUUUUCUUCUAAUCACGGCAGAAAAUUUACUAAUAAAAGUACCUAGUACAUUGACACUUACUUUUUCAAGUGAUUUGAUAUCAACCGAGUGCAGGUUUUUCUAUCUGAUAAAAACAUAUUAUAUCUUAAAUGAUAACUUCCUAAUCAUGUGAAAAAUAACUUAUCAUAAGUAUCUAUGUAUUCUCUUCUCUAGAGCAAGCAUAUAUAAGUAGUUAUAAGUUUUAGGCCAAUUACCAUACAAAAAAAAAAAAUUCCCAACUUUACACUUGUGCUAAUUUUUUUUGUCAAGUAUAAUGCAUAUGAAAGAGACGUCAGAACUUAUUCUUUUGUGCACAAUCCAUCCUCUGUUAGUCCAUCAGCCAGCAAAGAAAAAAUGGUCGUUGCCUUAUUGAUGUGGCGACUAAGGUGACUAAUUAUCACCAUGAAGCGUCAUUAUAAGUAAUUAAUAUAAAUCGAUAGUUAAAGAAGUUACUUUUGAAGAUUAGAGAAAAAGGCAACAGAGGAAAAAAGCAUCGAUAUGAUUUAGUGGUCUUUUCGAUUCAGGAAUUUCUAUUAGCUCAGUUCAAAGAAGAAUAUGCUAGUAUUUUGCCAGGUAUACUAUUGAGGGCAUGCAGCUGCAACCUCGAAAGGUGGUACACAUUGUAAAGUUCUUAGAUACAAUCGACAUAAACUUAAGGCCGAAAAAGAGAGCUAGUGCAAAGUUCGGUUAUCAAAUUUUCCAUCAAUUUGGUCCUUCAAAAGUUUUGUGUUCUUUGGACUCUAUAGCUUCUUCCUGAAGGUGGGAAAUUCACAAUCAAUCUUUAUACUCUUUCACUGUCUCGACCGCCACAUGAAAGAAUACGAACUGUGGAGAGAGCAGAAGACUUUCAUAUCAUUGACAGUCUGUACAUGAGAAAAUGGUAGGAACAGAAGAUGCACAGCAGAAGCAAUAUGAAAAAUAAUCUUCGAGCCUUAGCUCUUAUUCAACAUUAGAAUAACAGUAGAAGGAGCUUGCAAUACUUAAAGCUUCUGUGAUGCCGCCCAACCCCUGAAAUCAGGCGGAACCAUCGCCUACAUUCUUCCAUCCACCAUACUUAAAAGUCCAGGAGAGAACAAAUAUCCUAAAAAAUUACUCUGACAAGUCGGAUUCCACAAGAUCAGACUGCGUCUCCGCCUUCAAAGUCCUCCACCGAUCAUCAUAACCCAGAGAAUCUUCUACCUUCUCACACUUAUGUAUAAGCAAAGAAUUCAGCUUCUUGUGGCUUGAUGGAUCGGGUAACUUUCCAGAAGAUUUACAGGAACCAAUCCAGACCGUCUCCAACAAUUCUGGUCUGCCUUUGAUCUCGAUCACUUCGGACAGCACUGCAGAUAAAGUUUCUGGAGCUUCUCUAAGUUGGUGAGGUCAGGCAACUUGUUCACACAUGGAACUCCUUCAAGCUUUAAUGCUCUCAGGUUCUCCAAACCUUGGAGGCCUCUGCACUCACUUUAGGGCAAUGAGCAACUUCCAAAUCUGACAGCACUUUCAAAUUUGAAAGGUCUAUUAAUGUUUCCUGCAUGAUUAUAUAUUUAAGUACAACGAAUUUGGGGGAAGGUGAAAUAGGCGUUGCAGCUUCUUGCAGUGGACCAGUUCAAGUUCCUUGAGCUGUGAAAGAAGAAUGAAGAUGGGGAGAUGAAAUAAUGACAUUCCAACCGCCAGGACUCCAGCCUGCCUAACCUUCUGAUCCAUUAAGAACUCGGGAGCUUCAUUGAAUUCAGAAGCAUCCUCAAAAUUGUCAAAACCUGGAUUUUCCAUACAAUUUGAAUGCCAGAUAAGUAAGUAAUUUAACAUCGAAGGACACACAUUAAAGAUCCACCUUUGUAGAAACACUAAUCUAAAUGUCUGUAAACUCCGAACCCAACCAAUAUAAACAAUAUUAUGGACAAUAUUUUGGAGGGAUGAGUCUAAUCUCAGUAAAUGAGAGUUCUAGGUCCAUGUACCCAUCAGUCAAUCCGAGAACACAACAGUAUAGUAACGAUUAUGGUCAAUUGGAAAAACAAUACUCACUUGAGAUAUGUAAUCCAUGCAUUAUAUACAAAUGACUAUAAUUAUCUGUGCAAGGAAUCAAAUAGAUGCACUCCAAUGCAAACAAUUGAACGUACUAAUCUCAUGUGUGCAAUACCUGUUGCUCAUCCAUAUACACAAGUGAGUAUUUAUACCAUACUUGUCACUGGUCAUGACUCAUCUCGACUAACGAGACAUCGUCACCAACUCAUGAGAUGAAAUCAUAAAAACAUUUUUGUCACGCUUUAGUCCAUUCAUCAGGGAUAUCCUCCAGCAAUGACAGAUACAAUACUCUACACCCACAUGAUGAUGGCUAUCCCAGACUCAUUCUCAUCAAGAUUCUUACCCAUUCUAUUUUCUUUCUAGUUCUUGGACCUCAAGUUCAUAAUAUCACAUACGGGCUAUUUAAUUCACAUUUUUUUACACAAAUGUUAUCAUUUCGUGUAUGAAUUAUUGGACUUCAUGUCCUUUCGACCAUAUAGAGACCUUGUUUGAAAGGUAGAAUAUUCGUUUUUUCUAGAGUCUUAUAUAUGUACUUAGGAAAUUCAUUGCAGUGUUGGUAUAUUACUAACAACACUUGCAAAAUUUCCAUGGAGUUGGUAAUUUACUUCAUUAUUAGAAAAUUACUAGCAAGAUUGGAAAAUUACUGAUAAGAUUGGAAUUCUACCAACACAGAAAGUUUUCGAUUUUCCACUGCAUGGGAUCGUAAAAUUUUGCAAAGCUUCGUAAGUCUCUACCUCUGCAACAAGAACUUAAAUCCCAACUGAUAAUUUCAAUUGUUGAAACUAGAAAUGCAGUAAUGAAUCAAUCAGAAGCCCCUUUAGAAAUCAAUUGUAAGUUAUCAAAACUAAAGGACCUUUGUGACCAUUGCACAUGAUCAUUAACUAGGAGGGUUAUGUUUGCACAUGAACAUUACCCAGGGAGGGUAAUGUUCAUGCUAGACAAGAUGUUUUGCCCUACUUCUUCAUUUCUUCAAUGUGGAAAUUUUCAGGGAAAUCAGCAAAAAUUCUGCGAAUACAGUCACUGAUGUCUAAUUGAAUUCACAACACUGAAUGCAACACAUUGCACAUUAAUCUCCGCGAAUGAAUUCUGGAGCAAGUCAUCUUGAAUCCUCGAUGAAUUUCCCCCAUGACGAUAUUAAUUAAUAAUUACACCCACUAAAAAUUUCAGAGGUAAGUAGGACCACGGCAGACCAAGAAAAAGAAGAAAGAAAAUUGCAGAACCAAUCGAUUAUUCUAAGUUUUCAUGCCUUCCAGGACAAUAUUUCGGUUUUAGCCAGACCUCGACAAGCUCAGAAGAACAACUGAUUCCCCAUGUAUGUUUUGAACUAGUUCCUAAGGAGCGAAAAUCAAUCCCCUCGCGGGUGCAGAACCAAACUGACGCACAGGAGUAGCAAUGUGUUUCAAUAGAAUGCGACUUGUGGUUUAGACCAAAGCUAUAUUAAAGAUUAGAUGCAGCUAUGGAAGAAAAUCAAGUGAGUCAGCUCCCGAGCGAGUUCAUCGAAAGGCUGUUUUCAUUUCGUAGGUAUGACAAGUCACGACUGAAAAUAAUAAAAACCAACUCAAUCCGUCCCAAAUCUUUUCCUAAUCUAUCACAGAUUGCAUCCAAGAUUCGCAUGCGGACCCAAUUCAUGAAAAUGCGAAGAGAAAAUUACCAGAAAACCAAAUAAAGAUGCGAAGAAGGAAAAAGCAAGACCUUUUUUUAAGACUCGUGGGAACAGAUGGGCGGGCAGGAAGACGGGGGUGGCAGUCCCCGGAGGGAGAUCUCCGCCUGGUCGAAUCGCGUCUCGUUCUUGCUUGCGCUCGGGGUCGCCGUCGCGUUCCUUCACAAUCGGAGUCCGUCGCUGCUUGUUC
rnacentral:lncRNA from 1 species